rnacentral:rRNA from 1 species
CCUACGGGAGGCAGCAGUGGGGGAUAUUGCACAAUGGGGGAAACCCUGAUGCAGCGAUGCCGCGUGAAUGAAGACGGUCUUCGGGUUGUAAAGUUCUGUCGCAGGGGACGAACAUGACGUUACCCUGCAAGAAAGCUACGGCAAAGUACGUGCCAGCAGCCGCGGUAAUACGUCGGGCGCAAGCGUUGUCUGGAAUUACUGGGGGUAAAGGGAGCGUAGGCGGGAGGAUAAGUUGAAUGUGAAAUCUAUGGGCUCAACCGAUAGCUGCGUUCAAAACUGUUCUUCUUGAGUGAAGUAGAGGCAGGCGGAAUUCCUAGUGUAGCGGUGAAAUGCGUAGAUAUUAGGAGGAACACCAGUGGCGAAGGCGGCUUACUGGACUAUAACUGACGUUGAGGCUCGAAAGCGUGGGGAGCAAACAGGAUUAGAUACCCCUGUAGUC